CUCUCGUGGCCCGUGAAAUCAAGCGUGGGUGAGACCUGGUGCAGAAGGGAAGGCGACCCAUACUUGGUUUCAGAGGCUGUGAGGA
rnacentral:pre_miRNA from 13 species